UCGCCCUCGGAGCCCGUCUGGUCCGAGCCGUCCUCCUCCAGGUAGCGGUAGCCGCGCAUGCGGUGGCGCGGGCGCGGGAUGCGGGGCAGGCGGUACUCCACGCGCUGCCCCAGCUGCUGCUCCAUCCGCAGGGAGAAGCCGGUGCAGACAAAGAGCACCUCAAAGCCGCUGUAGAUGAAGAUGGGGAAGAGGUGGCGCAGGCGAUAGUCCCUCAUGUGCUUGAAGGGCAGCUGGAAGAUGUUCCCCCAGCCGAUGCUGCGCAGGUCGAUCUCCUCCGUGGGUCGAUAGGCUGCCCCACAGAGCACCAGGACCUGCGUGUGGGGAGCACAUGGUCAUGGAGCACAUCAUCCCAAGGGAGAGGGUUUGCCUUGCAAAGGACCUUAGGAUCAUCCGGUCGCAGCCCUUCUGCUGUGGAUCACAAAGCACGUGCAGGACAACAGGAGGAUCGGUACAAUCAGCACCAGAAGGGCAGGUCCUGCUUGCCCAACCUCAUCUCCUCCUACAACAAUUGACCUGCCUGGUGAAUGAGGGAAAGGCUGUGGGCAUCGUCCCUUUGGACCUUGGUAAAGCAUCGAUAUGGUG